GAUGAAGAACGUAGCGAAAUGCGAUACGUAAUGUGAAUUGCAGAAUUCAGUGAAUCAUCGAGUCUUUGAACGCACAUUGCGCCCCCUGGUAUUCCGGGGGGCAUGCCUGUCCGAGCGUCAUUGCUGCCCUCAAGCCCGGCUUGUGUGUUGGGUCUCGUCCCCCUUCCCGGGGGGACGGGCCCGAAAGGCAGCGGCGGCACCGCGUCCGGUCCUCGAGCGUAUGGGGCUUUGUCACCCGCUCUGUAGGCCGGCCGGCGCUUGCCGAUCAACCAAAACUUUUUUCCAGGUUGACCUCGGAUCAGGUAGGGAUACCCGCUGAACUUAAGCAUAUCAAUAAGCGGAGGA
rnacentral:misc_RNA from 1 species